UACAGAGGGUGCAAGCGUUAAUCGGAAUUACUGGGCGUAAAGCGUGCGUAGACGGUUACAUAAGUCAGAUGUGAAAGCCCCGGGCUCAACCUGGGAAUUGCGAUGGAGACUGCAAGGCUUGAAUCUGGCAGAGGGGGGUGGAAUUCCACGUGUAGCAGUGAAAUGCGUAGAGAUGUGGAGGAACACCGAUGGCGAAGGCAGCCCCCUGGGUCAAGAUUGACGCUCAUGCACGAAAGCGUGGGGAGCAAACAGG
rnacentral:rRNA from 1 species